AGCAUCUGCACAUCUCUGUGUUGAAGACUCUUUAUGGUGGAUAAGCAUGUGUAUGUUUUCUUGAACUUGAUUGAAAGCAUUCUAUUGAGAAGUUUUGCAUCUCUGUUCAUAAAGGAAAUUGGUCUGAAAUUUUUUGGUCUUUAAGCGGCUUAGGCAUUAAGUUAACUAUAAACUCAUAAAUGAAAUGAGAAGUAUUCCUUAUGUUUCUUUUUUGUGGGAUAAUUUGAUGAAUAUUGGAAAGAACUCCAUUGAAAGUUUGUUUAAACUCUGCUAAAACCUUCUGCCUGGUGCAUACUUUGUUGGUGUAAUUUACUCACUCCUAUUUUAAUAGGAAUUACAUAUCUCUUUAAAUUGUUUAUUUGACUUUGAUUGAACUUUGGUAUGUGGUAUGUGUAAAAUUAUCUAUUGUUUUUAAUUUUCUAAUAUGGUGCAGUACAACUGUAUAAGAUUUGUCCACAUGAUUCUCUGAAUUUCCUUGUUGUCUGUUUUUUAUCCAAUUUUCUCCUCUUAAAAGAUUUGAAUCUUCUAUUUCUACAUUUUAGUUAAUUUAGGUGAGAAUUUGUCAACUUUAUUGAAUUUCUCAAACAACUAACUUUGUUUUAUUGUUUAUUAUAUUUAUUUUUUCAUAAUUUGUUUUAUUGACUUCUGGAAUGAGUUUGCUUAUUUCUUUCUUUUAUACUUAUUUUAGGUAAGAUUUAUUCCUUUUGUGUAGAGCAUUCAGGUGUACUAUUAUGUUCCUUGUAUGAGAAUUCUUUAAUCUUCAUUAAUUAACGAAGGAUCUCAGUAUCGUGACCUUGCUGCUUAGAAUGGCUUUUAUUGGGUGUCAUAACUUUAAUGAAAUAUAUGCUCAUUUAUUUUAUUCAUUCUAGAAAAAAAUCUAUUCUUUCUUGAUUUCUGUCUUGAUUAAUAUUUCAUUUAUCACUGAGCUGUUUAGUUUCCAUGAGUUUAUUACAUUUCUGUUGUUUCUGGUGAUAUCAGUAUCUAGCUACAGUCCUUGAUGGUCAGAUAAAAUGUAGACUGCUAUUUCCAUGUUCUUGUAUUUGUUGAGACUUGUUUUAUGUCAAAUAUUUGGACAACUGUAGAAAAAUUUUCAUGAACUGUUUAGGCGGUAGAUAUUCUUUCUGUUUCCAUGAAAUAAAAUAUUUUAGUUCCAUUUGGUUGGUGAUGCCAGUUAGCACAUUAUUUCUCUGUUUAGGAUUUAUCUGGGUGGUCUAUCUUUUAGUGAGAGUGGGAUACUGAUGUUACUCACUAUCAGCGUGUGAGUCAAUAUGCAAUUUUAUGUUAUAGUAGUGUUUCUCUUAUGAAUUUGGAUAUUCUAGUGUCUGGUACAUGGAUAUUGAGUAUUGUAGUGUCUUAAUGGUAGAUUGUUUUUCUUUGAUGAGUUUACAAUAUCACCCCAUCCCAUCUCCUUUGACUAACUUAAAUUUGAAGCCUAUUUUAUCAAGCAUUAAAGUAGACACUAUAGCUUGAUUUUUAGGUUUAUUUUCUUGGAAUAUAAAAUUCUUUUACUCUGAGGUAAUGUCUAUUCUUCAUGUUAAAGUUUGUUUUUUGGAUAUGAUAGAAAAGUGGAUAUUCUUUUCUCAUCUAAUCUGUUAGAGUUUAUUGUGGAAUUGUUACCAUUGAAAUUGAGAGUUAUCAAUGGAUGAAGAUUGGUGACUUCUGAUAUUUUACUUAUGUGAUAUUUCACUCUGUGUAUAUCUCUGCCUCUCUGUCCCUCUCUCUGUCUUACACUCUCUCUGUCUCUCUCUGUCUCUCUGUCUCUGUCUCUCUCUUUACCUUCCUGUGUGUGUGUGUGUGUGUGUGUUUCCCCUCUUUUGUUUUAUUUGUUUUGAAUUAUUUAUUCAUUCUGUUUUCUUGGGUGAGAUUAACCUUUCUAGAUUGGAGUUUUCUUUUUAUCAUCUUCUAUAGUGCAAAUUUUGUAGGUAAAUAAUGCUUACAUUUUAUACACUUGUUUUUUUGUCUGUUGAGAUUGUUUUUGCCAUGGUUUGCAUUCGUGGUCCCAGGCAGUUUCUAUAAUAUCUGACCUUUAGUGUCUCCAUUGUGAAGUCUAGUUUUAUACUACUAAGUAUGCUUUUAUACCUUACUUGGUCUUUUUCCUUUGCCUUUUAAUUCUCUUUCUUUGUUCUUUACAUUUAGUGUUUGAUUCUUAUGUGUCAAGGGGAAUUUGAUUUUAUCUAUUCUGUUUUGUGUUCUGUACACUUCUUGAAUCUUGACAAACAUCUCUCUUGAUGUUAGGGAAAGUUUCUUGUAUGAUUUUGUGGAACAUAUUGUCUGUGUAUUUCAUCUGGUUCUGGUCUUCUUCCUCUGUUUUUACUGCUAUAGAUUUGCUCUUUUCAUAUUGAUCCAGAUUUCCUAGAUAUGAUGAAUUUCAGAUUUAACAUUUUCCUUGUCCAAGGUAUGUAUUCUUGUUGUCAAUGCUUGAGCUCCUAUUUCUUCCUUUCCAAGACAAUUUUCAUUUCUUGUAUAGUUUUUGAAGGUUGUUGGAGUUUCUUAUAUGCAUUCCUAAGUCUUUCAUUUUCAAAUUUUCCUUAGUUUCUGUUUUCUUCAUUUGUUCUAUUUCCACUAUGGAUUUUUCAUUUGUUUUCUUCAUUUUUUUCUUACUCUCUGUGUUUCUGUAGAUUUUUUAAAUGAAUUCAUUCAUUUAAUAUUCAUAGACUAUGUUAAGAUCUUUGUUGUAUACAUUAGGUAUGUUGCAUUUGUCAAGGACUACUGUAUCAGAGUUGCUGGACUCAAGUAGGGACAUAUUCCCCUGGGUGUUAUUGAUUGUGUUUUUUGACUAGCGUCCAGCCAUUAGUGUUUGGUAUAAUUGUAAUUCUAGGCACUGAUAUCUCAUCUUGUCUUUGAUGGUUGAAUGUUCCAGCCAUGAGUUUCUCUUUCACUUUCUGUUACUUAGAAUCUGGUUGCUGAGCAUUGCCUGCCAGGACAUGUUGUAGAAAUCUGCUGUGUGUUUUAGGGUAAAAUGUGUUUCUAUGUAUUGGGAGCUGACACAUAGGACGGCUGACAGGUUGGAAAGGUUUGAAGGGGUCCAUGGAGGGAAGGAAAGCAUGGUGUUCUACCAGUUAAAGCUUAGUCCAAUGGAAAAUGGGAUAGAAAGUGAGCAGAGGUCACAGAAGGUAGUCUGUUAUAGAUAUGGGAGUGAGAUGUGGGCAUUGAAUUUAGAUGGUAUUUGUGAAGACCUGAAGCUCAUUACCUAGUUUGCUAGUUUACUUGCUUAUGGAAUACUUGGGUAACAGCUUCUCAGGAAGAAACCUGCUACUUUUGCCUCUUGAGAAAAACAUAUAGCUGGACAGAACAGUUGGUAUAGAUGAUACAUAUUCUGCUAGAGAGGGGGACAGAGUGAGAGCAGAUGCUGCUACAGGUGAUCUGCUUCAGAACGGGAGACAAGACUGAGGGCUUGGAUAGAGAGGAGCAGGUGGAGAGGUGAAGAUAUUCAGUUAGCCUGUUUGCUUACCUGGUCAGUUUAUUUCUCUUUUUAUUACUUGGAUAUUCAUGAAAUAUCACGAUGACCCAACACUCUAGACUGUGAGCUAUAAAAUAAAUGGUAGUGACAGGUGAACAAACCCCUCUGUGUGCAUCACUAAAGUGCAGAAACAGAACAACUCCAGGUUAGAUUAGGGUGUGUUGAUUAGACAGGGGAUUAAUGAUUUUUCACACAAGUCUUAUGACAUGACAGAUCUGCUAUGUCUAAGUUCCUAGAUCAUGCUGGAUAGAACUAAUAGCAGUUAUUUAUGGUCUUACAAUUGAGCCUUUGUUUCUGACCACGAUCUGUUUGAAUAGUAUACAAUGUAAAAAUAUUUUCUUGGCUGAUGAUGACAUGGAUUUCCUUUAGAAAGGUAGGUCAAAUUUAUAAUAACUGUGUUACAUGUUCUUCUAAAGCAUCCCUUCUUACAACGUAGACAAAAAUACACCUUGUCUCAAAGGAACAUCUCUAACAACCUGACACCUCUUUCAUUAUAGUGUUUAAUGGUAAAGCAGAAAAUAUCAUUUCUUCAGUCUUUUGUAGAUGUGUCUUGCAUUGAACUAACUCAGAACAUGCAAAUGUUAAAUGAAAUAAUAGAUAGACUUGAGCCUAACCCCAUAAGAAGCAGGAACACUCCCCAGAAUCCAGAGAAAUUUAUGAAGUACUGCAUUAUUUCUUUUCAUCAACAAAUGCAAGGUUCUAUAGUUUCAGACACCGGGAUAAAAUGGAAUUAUUCACACUCCAUUAUAUAAAUCUACAAUGAUUGUAGUAAUUUUUACUAUGACUUACCUAGAUGCAACAGUACUUAUGAGUUAUUACCCAUAACCUCUUCUGAUGAACAUAUGAUUAGGACCUUUUUUCUUUUUUUCUUAGAUAUUUUCUUCAUUUACAUUUCAAAUGCUAUCCCCUUUCCUAGUUUCCUCAUUGAAAGUCCCCUAUACCCUCCCCCCUCCCUCAUCCCCAACCCACCCACUCCUGCCUCCUGGACCUGGCAUUCUCCUGUACUGGGGCAUAUGAUCUUCGCAUGAUUAAGACUUUCAUUUAGAUGCUCUACGUUGUUCUUACUUCACAAGCGUUUGUAAUAAACGUGGAGAUUCAUCUAAUUCUACACAUAUUCCUCUAACUUGCAACCUAUGUAUAAGGAGAUGAAUGUAAAAUGAAAAUAGAACUGGUUAAUAGCUGAAGGCUUCCUUUGUGAGAUGUACUUAGAAUGAGUUGACAUUUAAAUAUCUUUGCAGUCCAUGUACUUCUGUCAGGCACUGGGAACCGAUAUAGUUUAAUUCACUGUAGAUUUUCCAUUUAGUGAAUCUCAUGUUCCCAGUGUGGUUUAGGCAUGGCUUUCAAGGCCAGGAAAAAUGGCUAGAUGAUAUAAAAUGCCUGUCAGUUUCAUAGCAAAGGGCAGGCAAGCAAAUGAAUCAGGAAAUGCUUCACUGGGAGUUUUACACACAAUGUGCAGAUUACCAAUUAUAAAGAAUACAAUUGGAGAAUUCUUUUUACAGGAUUUUCCCCUCCCUUUGAUAACUACCUCAUAAAAUUCAUUGUCAGUCAAAAACAAUGAGUUUAAAAGUUGUAUUGAUAUGAAAAAUCACUUAUAGGCCAAUAUAAAUAUGUUACAGAUUAGAUGUUUACAUACUAAAAAUUAUAUACUGUGUAAGACAGUGUCUUAUGAUAGCUUAUAUACAUAUAAAAUGGAGAAACUUAAAGCAUGUUUAUUUUUAUGUGAAAAUCCUUAAAGAUUUUACCCAGAGGUAAAAAUAAUUCAUAUCUAUAUUUUCUUGUCCCUGUGACCACUCUCAAGAUGUAAAUCAAUUUUCAAUGCACUAUGGAAUGGUAAUGCCAUUUGAUAACUUGAAGAACUAGGUAUUUGCUUGAAUAUCUGGACUUCCUAAGGAAAUAUCAUGACCAGAACAUUAAAAAUCAAAAUAACAAUAGUGAAGUAAGUACACAUAAAUAUACUCACUGAGGAUGAGGAAAAAGAUGGUCUUUUUUGACUUCUAACAGUGUGUAAUCCAUUCUUUUAUAUUAGAAGCCAAAAAAAAAAUGCCUAAAGGAAUUCACUCAGUAAAACCUUGAGAGCAACGGCACCAGCAGUCAUUUGAGAAGCUAAAGAACAAAUUUAGGGAUUUACCAGUAUUACUGAGUUAUGAGAUCUGCUGGCAUCUGUAAGCUACUGCACUUGGGGAAAUUAAUUUCAUGCUUCCCUACUUCUGUAAAAACUCCUAACAGAAAGGUUCAUCAAGCCUUUGGCUGGUCAAAGAAAUGUCAAAAUCCUGAUUGAAGAAAGGCAUGGAAAAUAUAUAAACUUCACAGCUGUCAAUGAUAUUUUUUCAUUCAUGAUUUUAUUUCUUUGGUUUUCAUUUUCGUUUUGUUUUGUCUUGUUUUUGAUGAAUGGACUUUAUAUGCAAGGCUCAGCAUAUGAAUUAUAAGUAGGCUAAGUGUCCACAUUUGUUUAUUCAAAAAAAAUAAAACAGAGAACCAUUGGUCCCUAGACAAAUAAGAUCUUAUUUUUAAAGAUAAACAUGGCUUUUGUGCUUCAAAGAGAAAGCUAUUGAGAUGUAGAUAUGAAAUAUACUACAUGACAUUUUAUAGCUUUCUGUAAUCUCAAAUUCAAAAAUAGCUCUUAUUUUUUUCCACUGAAAUACUUUAUCACAUUUCUAUCACAAUAUUUUCCUGCUUAAUAUGAUGCUAUUAUUGUUCCAAUUAUAUUUGAAAAAAAAUGUAUUACCUUUACCAUCUUUUAAACAGCUUUAAAAUAAGAAAAUAAAUGAAAAUCUAUAAGAAUAAUAAAGAUGGAUAUAUUUAGAGAUGUAAAGAAAAAUUCUGUUUUUGGUGCAUGUUUAAAUAGUGGGUUGAAUACAAUAGUCAUGUUUAGACUAGGUAUUGAAAAGGCAAAAUAAUAUAUAUGAAGAAGAUAUUUUUGUUAUGUUGAUUGAAAUAACAAUUGAAAUUUCGACAGAGAGACUGAAGAGUUAAAACACAAUUGGAACAUUUUAAGGCAUUGCAUAUUCAGGAUUAGACUAAGUUCUAAUAUUUCAACCUAUUGUAGAGAUCUCACAUUGCACAGCAAGAGAUGAGCAUGUGACCUGGAUUAGCAUCCUGGAUAGACACAGUGCCAGCAUCAUGGAUAGACACAGUACCAGCAUCAUGGAUAGAGAGUACCAGAUGCAGGAUGGCAGUCACCAGUUCCAGUAUCCAAGUUCUUCAAACCUGACUUGACAGAACAAAGAGAUGUUGUAAGUCCUUGGGUGAAAGAGACUGUGAAGACUGGAGGUUCUCUGUAAAAGUGAGGUUAUGUUCUUUAAUAAAUAUUUUAUUCCACUUCAGCACCUACUUUGGAAAAACUCAGCAUUCAACACAAACCGAAUUGCAAAGGAUCCUCACGUUCCCACCAGGCUUUUCCUGAACACUUUUCCCUGGGUGAUGUCACCUCACUAAUAGUUCAAGGAAAGAACUUUUGAAAGCAGAACAAAAAGGCACACAGUACACACAACAACAACUUAGAGCAACAAACAGAUUUUUUAAUGCACAACAACCAUAUUCUAUUUACACUUUGUCCAACUCUUUCUAAAUUUGUACAUCUGCUCUCAAUAUGCUAUUCUGCCUCAAGAACUGUUACAGGCAUUUGGGGAUUAAAAUGGUGCUUUCCAGAUGUGUUUAUUCAUUUAAACUGAGGGAAAAAAAAGUGCUCUUCUCAUAAUAUCACUACAUAAAGGAUUUAACCUGGGGAAGUUGUUAUUUGAUGCUUCAAUGCCUUGGUAUUUUCCUUUAGGGGGUAACAUAACAGAUGUGAUUAAAAAAAAAAAUCUAUCUGGGCCACAGAGGGAAUAUAUUCAAAAUGGACCCUUAUUUUAGAAAAAAAAAAAGAAAGAAAGAAAGAAAGAAAGAAGGAAAGGAAGGAAGGAAGGAAGGAAGGAAGAAAGGAAGAAAGAAAGAAAGAAAGAAAGAAAGAAAGAAAGAAAGAAAGAAAGAAAGAAAGAAAGAAAGUAAACAGAAAGACAAUGUGCUUCUUGUAAGUGGACAUUCAUCGGGACAGAGAUUUUCUUAUGUGGGACUCCUCCAGAGGAGCACAUUUGUAUUUUGGGUUGAGUGCAUCUAUUCUGCCUAAAGGAUACAGAGGAAGCUAUGGAUACUGACAAUAUCCCACUCUAGGAAUCAUUUAAAGCACACUAUAGGUCUUGGUGCCCACACAUCUACCCUCAUUCUGGUUAGGCAGUGUUUUUUUUUUUUUUUUUUAAAUCUGGAGAGUGUUUAAAAUAGUUGCAUACUUAUAUCUCAGAAUUACUGCUAAGAAGUUCCUUACAUUCAGCUACUUUGCAAUCUAUUCUAUACACAGCACCACAUUGAACCCUUUUAAAACUCAUAUUCAUUUGAAUGAUUUAUCUUUAUAUGAUAGCUACUAAAAGUUCAAAGUAGAACUAUUCUACAAUCACUACUUACUGAUUUAGUCUAGUACCAUUUAGUCAUUGCUAUGAAAUAUCUUAUUAUUUUCUUUACAAAUGUCUGUUUGUAUUUCAAGACAAACAAUGAAGACAUUUUAAGUGUCACCUUUGCACCAGAAGAUAAAGUAAGUAUAUCCCUGAGCUCAAUUACCUUAGUGAAGAUCAUAUAGGGAAUAUGUAGAAGGUGUCACAUUUUAACAUGGUGUUCUUGGCUCUUCUUUGUAUAUUCCCAAACACUUGUUGUAUUUUUCAAAUAAAUGCCUUCAUGUAAUAUCUAGACCCCUUGAUAUAAGACAGAGAUGUAAUGGUAGCUUUGACGAUACUUUCCAAAUUUUCAAAGUGUUCCUCGUGCCAGAGACACUUUCAUAUAUCAAGCAUUUUAAAAAUACAUUAAUUUUGUUGCCAUAGAAAUACAUGUCACCAGGAGAAAAAAAUGUUCCAAGAGAUAUGCUAAUUGUGCUGCACACAGCUCUGUCUAGUUGAUGGUUCAUGUUUCACAAUGAUGCAAUGGAUCUGUUUUGCCUUGCUAAGAAAAGAAACAUACUACACUUUAGCAUUUGAUAAAAACAGUUGACCAUUACCUGAGAAUAAACAAGACAACCAUAUUUUAACCAAAGUACAGAAUAAGAUACUAUACGUUACUAUUACUUCUAAAGGAAAAAGCAUUUACAAAUCCAUCCCUGUACCAAAAUUCUUGGAGAACAUGUAAUCAGCUAGCAGAGAGUAACCAGAGAUUAUAGGCAGCUUCAGGACUAAGCAAAGAAGAGAUCCUUCUGUAGCAAUGCAGAACUGCAGACAAAGAUUUAACAACACAUAUCAGGAGAGAGCUUACCUUGCUAGUGGAACUGUUUCUGAAGAUGCUAAACUUGAAGGGAAUUUUAAGCAGUGUGGAUGAGAAAUCUGAGAUUUUAAUAAAUAAAAAUGCUCCCACAAGGAUAUGAUAUAACUGGUCGCAUUAGUUUUGCACAAGAGCACAGUUAAAGAGAGCAGAAGAAAAGCAAAGCACAGUGUUUGGAUAGUCCAGUUAAAAGAGGGUUCGUGGUUUUCUUGAGUGUCCCUGAACUCCUACUGAGAGCUAAUGUCAUCUUCAUUAAGUUUCUUUUAGUUUAAUGCCCAUUUGUCAUCUAAUAAAAAGACAUUGGUGUUUUACACUCUUCCAUGGAGGUUAUGUGUUUAAAACUAAGGUACUAUAUUUACUGAAGAGGUGUUUUUUAAAGAGUCUAUAUCUACACACCAUGGAGAAAGGGGCAAUGGGUGACCACAGAAACCAUUUUAUCAAGAAUCUGUGAGUUCUUUGAGGUUUCUUUCAUGGUGAAUGGUCACACGCUAUUUGAAAAUCAUGAGAUGACAAGUAGAUACAGUAAAUAACAAACAACAAAAUAAAAGAAAGAAUUCUACACAGGGUAUGAGGGAGUUCUGAUGAGACUGUAUCCCUUGAUUACUUUGUACAACUAAAGACAACAUUAGGAAGUCUCCUUUUCUGAUUGAGUAUCCUCCAAGGAGUGGCGCAUGGGUCUUUAAAGUUUUGGGGGUUUGUUUUGCUUUUUAAGUUCUCUAUGCCUCUUGCUCCUCCUUCUUACAUCCAAGAUGAAACAACAGCAAAAUAUACAUUAUUCAUGAAAUGUAAGUAAAUAAACUCUGGUUAUCAAAAGAAAAAUACAAGCCUGGAUGGACUAUACUGAAAACAAACAGAAUUGUAUCAGUCCUGGAAUCAAGAAUGGGUAAUACAGGUAAGAAGAGUAAUAUUCCAUGUGUUGUUCUAAAUGUUGUAUAUAACAAAAACACAAAUCAGUUUCUAUUUUCUGUACUAGGACACAUCAGAGGUUGGGGAAUCCUUAACAACUGAUGAGCAUCCAUCAAUGUCUGAUUAGAACACUCCAAAUACCUAAUGGACAAUGAGUAAUAUAGUGAUGGCAUUAAAAACACUACUCUAAGGCUAGAGAAACUGUUCAAUGGCUAAGAGACCUAGUUAUCCAACUCACAGGGCAAGUCACAGUAAUCUGAACUUUAGAGAAUUGGGGUUUCUUACAUGGCCAAUGGUCACACAUUAUUUGCAAAUCAUGAGAUGACAAGUAGAUACAGUAAAUAACAAAAAACAAAAUAAAAGAAUUCUACACAGGAUAUGAGGGAGUUCUGAGUUUGGAACCCACAGUUUUAGAGAAUCCAAUAUUUUAUUCUGGCCUCCAAGAAUAGUAGGGGCUUAAACAGGCAUAUGUUAUAAAUGAAAAACACAUAUACACACAAAAUGAUAUCAAUAACAAAGAUAUUUCCAAGAAAGAAGAAUGGGAAGUACUACUAGAGGCAGCCAUUUUAUUUAUUUCUCACUGAAUAAAGAGACCCUAGUGUAUACCUGAUUAUCUAUGACCAAGCUAACAGUGAUGCAGAAAGGUCAUUCUAUCUCCCACUCACCAUAUUUGUGUUUUGUGAAACAUUUUCCAUUGCUUUGAUUCACUUUUAUUAUAGAAAAUAUAACAUAACAAAAAAUAUUCAUGAGAAAACUAACUGAAAACCUUAUUACUCCAAAUGAGUCACCAUUUCACGACAAUAUGGUAUAACCAAUUGUCAUGCAAAAGUGUUAUAGAUAAUUCUAAGACAACAGUGUAGGAUCCAAAAGCCAAUUUAGUAAGCUGAGCCAUAUAAUUCAAAAUGCCUGGUGUUCAUUAGACACUUUAACUCAACCCAAUCCAACAGCAAUAAUCAAAUCCUUCCAAAUACUCUAAAGGUUUAUAUGAAUUAUUUUUACCAUAAUAGGUGAUAUAUGCUUAAUAUACAAUUUAAGCAGUACAAAAUGAUAUUAAGGUUUUUCCUCACCAACCCAAUUCAAUUGCAAAGUCUUCAUUCCAGAGAGGCUCCAUAACAGGUGCAUCACUAAAUAUCCCCUAUGAAAGUGUAUAUGCUUUCUGAUAUGUGGCAGAUACAUGCUAAUAUACAGGUGACACCAGAAUGUUCUUCCUCAGCACCUUCAUGGCUUUCAUUCAUGACACACUAGAGACAUUAACUCAUAACAACAAACAGACUGAAAAUAUCUGGCUGACUGAUUACUGACCUGUUGCACUAUUGGGAAUUAAAAGACUUUCAAACAAUGUCUCUUCUUCCGAUCAUACAGCAGAAAAGUGUGUCAUAAAAAUUAACACACUCCGCACACGUGUUUCUGCUCUCAGUGUCUCUGCAUCGAAUCAAAUGCCAUAUGAAUUUUAAUCUUUACAUAUUAAAUUUGUCUACAGAGAGCCAUGACAAAUUAAUACUCUCACCAGUUGUUUCUAAAAGGAUUUUGGUUAAGCCUGGAUGGAAUUAUUAUUAAUCAUUGCCAACUUAAAUGAUGUGAAAGCAGCUUUGUCGAUUUCAGUUCUUAUUCACUUACUACAAAUGGACAGUUAACCAAACAAUUUAUGUAAGGUUUCUACUGCCACCACUUGAAUCACCACACAUAAAAAUAUCUAAGUUACAUAUGUCAGUAGUUUCAGUGGGAUUACCGGGAUCAUCUGCUUAGGUUCUCAGAAGGCUGAAAGCAAACUUUGACAGAUGUGUUUGUACUCUUGGGGUUACAGAGAAGAAUCUACUUCUGAACUCAUCGAAUUCGCUGGCCAAAUCCUGUCCCUAGUGCGUGCAGGACUGCAGUCUCCAUUUUCUUCCCAGCUCUGAAGCAAGAGAAGAUUGUUUUCCAAGUCUACUGAAAUUCUGGCCAUUGAGCCUGUCAAAUUCUUUGCUUUUCAUCGUCAGUGUAACUAGAGGGUAAUCAGUGCAAUAAUCUGCAAAUGCAUUUUAUAUUCCAAUGUCCAGAGCUCUAGUCACAUAUGUCAUAUUUCUUUUAUUAACCUGGCAGUGCAGGAAUUAUAAUGUUCACAGGAUUUAGUAAAUGAUAUAUUUUUGUCAGUAAUAAAAUAAUAACAACAGCAGCAAUAAUUAAUAAUAAUAAACAGGUUUUUUUUUCACUAGGGAAAGUGCGUUUCACUGAACAUGAUGACUUUACCACAUGUGCGUUUGUGUGUAUGUGUGUGUGUUUGUGUAUUAAGAUUACUAAAGAAAGAAAAAUAUGCAAGCAUAACAUAAUUAUUAUAUCAUAUGCCAUCUAGGAAAUUAUAGAUGACAGAAAAAAUAACCCAUUAUAUCUUUCAAAGCGUAAAAUUAUAAACAGGAUUAUUUUCAUAAGGAGUAAGCCUUUAAGGGUAAAAGCAAUAUAAAUUUGUUCAUAUUUAGGUUCAAAAGUAUUCAUCUGAAGUAGAAUUAGUAAAUUGUAGUCAUUAACACAUAAGACAAAUUUUAUAUAUAUUCAUGUAUUUAUAAUUUUCUACUAUAUUAGGUAGAUAUCCUAAAAUAACAAUCUGACUACUAGUGUAAUAUACUGAGAGAGUGACCUUGACUGUUCAGACACACAGACACACACAGACACACACACACAGACACACAGACACACACAGACACACACACACACACACACA
rnacentral:lncRNA from 1 species